CCUACGGGUGGCAGCAGUGAGGAAUAUUGGUCAAUGGGCGCGAGCCUGAACCAGCCAAGUCGCGUGAAGGAUGAAGGUCCUACGGGUUGUAAACUUCUUUUGUAAAGGAAUAAAGUGAGGCACGUGUGCCUUUUUGUAUGUACUUUAUGAAUAAGGAUCGGCUAACUCCGUGCCAGCAGCCGCGGUAAUACGGAGGAUCCGAGCGUUAUCCGGAUUUCUGGGGUUUAAAGGGAGCGUAGAUGGAUUGUUAAGUCAGUUGUGAAAGUUUGCGGCUCAACCGUAAAAUUGCAAUUGAUACUGGCAAUCUUGAGUACAUGUGAGGUAGGCGGAAUUCGUGGUGUAGCGG
rnacentral:rRNA from 1 species